ACAGACUGCUUUAACACUCAGGUACCUCUAAAGAGGCUUGGGGAGAACUUCCAAGGGUUUCUUCCUCCAAGAAGAUCUACUAAUACGUUAAUUACAAACCUGAUUGAAAGUUUUGUUCCCUGUGGCGUACAAGCACGAAUCCUUAGACAAUCUCUUCAAAAUUGGCUGAAUGAUCCCUUGAGCUUAAAGGUAACAAAUUCUUGGGGUCUCCGAGUUAUUCAUUUUUACAUCUUUAGGCCCUUUUCAGCAAACAGAAAAGGCAAAAACCCUCCUUCCCAGGGGCCCCCUUUGUUGUUCUGUGUGUCCUUCUCUGCCGUUUGCAUCCCAGAUGCAUUUAGCAGAUUUUUGUUUUGGUUUGUGCAAAUGAACUUCAUCUCCAAUACCACGUCCCUCCCACUUCUGAAUCCACUCUUAAUGGAUAACCCUUACUUCCUUGUUUCCCAGUCUGCCCUCUUGAAACAUUUGCUGCUCCACUGUGUUUAACAUUAGCAUUGGAUGGUUCUCAGGAUUCAUUCAAAGAUGGGAAAUGAGGUUUGGGGUUUUUUUUUUUUUUAAGUUGACUUGGCUGGAAGGCACUCAUAUACAAAGGAUGCCGGGAAAAGAAAAUGAGCAGACAUUCUAGGGAAGUGAGGUAAUUGCACUGGGCACAGGGCAGUUCCGGAAGGUCCCACUCAGAGUGGGCUUCAGUGUUACCAAGCAUGAAUCUCCCAGUUCCUGGCUGGGUGCCGUGUGAUGGAAAGGGCGUUGUAAAUAUUUAACCUCUCUCUCAGUGAACAGCUCUCAUCCCCAGUAAGUAUUAUUGACUGAUCAACUAUUUGCUCCUGGAAGAGUCCUUCAUUUAUUUUUUUCUUUUUUGGAAACUAACUAGAAAGAAAAAAAAAAAAAGACCAGAACACCAUGACUUCAUUGGAUUGAGACCCAGACUUCUCUGACAAACCUCACUGAAGAGGAAACCGGAAAUGCUUGACUGAAGAAUGUCGAUGGCUGUUUCAUGUGUACCCAACUCAUAAUAUUUGUCUGGGGAAAAGCACCAAUGUCGGGGAAGUUAACAUCACCAGGAAGAACACAGACCAGUAAGCUCUGAGAAGGCCGGGACCGGGACUGUCCUGACCACCACCAUAUCCCCAGGUGGCGGGUGCCUGGUGCAAGCUUGCAGAAUGGCUGAGUUACCCUGCAGGCUGCAGUUGCCAAAUCUUUGGCUUGUUCCUCUUCUAUGUCAUGUGUAUUAGGCCUAAAAUUUGCUUUGAAAUCACAGGAAGAAAGACUCUAUAUAAACCAAGUGGCCAUUGUUUUCCUUAAUAUGAUGUCACACCCAGCCUCCAACCCGUUGCAGACAACAAUUGAACCAAAGCAAUAUCUGUCACAUGCUGCCCGAGGUCAAGUUAGUUCAUCUCCGUGCCUCUAGCCUGGCAUUAUGUAAAGCACUGAAAUAAAGGCAACGAAGUAUAAUAUUUCUCUGGAGGU
ensembl:lncRNA